CCACAGCUCUUUCCACAGCUGCACUGACUGCAAAUCUGACACUCUUUAAAAUAUUGUCACUAAACAUUUAUCGUCUGAAAGAUGCCAUAUGGUUCACCAGCAUCUGCUAACAGCAAACAUCCAAUGGCCUAUCCAAUGGCCAAACAUGGCACGCAGUCACAUUCUUCAUUUCCUUGACCCCAGGAAGCAACAGCAUACGGCAAGACUGAGAGAUUUUCAAUGCCUCUGCUAAGCUACAGCAUAUCUAGCAUUCCAUGUCCAUAUGCUAGAAAUCAGCAAUUUAUGCUGUUGUAGAAGAAAUGUUUAAAAAAUGAAGCACAAACCACUAGAGGGAAACUUUUCAUUGAAGAUUUGCUGAGAGGCAAAACGAAGAAUGGAGAGAGAGAAGGCAGAGCCAGAGACAACUGAGGAAUUGCCAAAAAUUUACAAAUCACAAUUGGUCUCUCUGCCUAGUGACAGAGUGAAAGGGGAGCCUAAAUUGUUUGAAUCUGAUGCAACUAACAAGAAACAAAGCAAUUUCAAAAUUUAACACAGGGGAAUCAAAUUCUCCAAAGCUACUCAGAGUAUUUUCUUUGUGUCAUUGUAGCUCAAACUAAAAGUAAAAAAAUCUACCCAGAACUGAGCAUAAUUUUUAUUUUUCCAUUUGAAACAUGGGAUUAUUUCUUGCAGGCAUUUGGAAAGACACUAUAUUCAGGACUUUGGUUGCCAGUAAAAAUUCAGUUUUGGAAACCAUCAUUAGUCAGCAUAAAAAUGGGUCUAGUUCUAUGGAAAUUAGAUUAUUCCUAUUUUUUUUUCUGGAGACUGCACAAGCUGUGCUUUUUUGGAUUUUUGAAAAGCAGGAUAUGAAUUGAAAAGAAAAAAAUAUCAAACAUUCAAUUAUUCAUUACUGUAGAAUCCAAACCUGUGUCUGGAAGAACGUUCUCAGACAUCCAGCUGAACAUCAAGCCAUAUACUCUCCUAGAUCCCCAUGUAUAGCUCCAGCCCCUUCAAACAGAAACAUGGAGUAAAAAAAUUUGGCAUACAAAAAUAUUAGCCAUUGAUACCGUAACAGUCAUAAUUAACAGCUGAAAUCUAUCAGCUUAACAGAGCAAUAGUGACUG